GACGAACGCUGGCGGCGUGCUUAACACAUGCAAGUCGAACGGAGUGGCGAACGGGUGAGUAACACGUGGGUGAUUUGCCUUGCACUUCGGGAUAAGCUUGGGAAACUGGGUCUAUUACCGGUUAGUGCAAGAUGAGCUCGCGUCCUAUAAGCUUGUUGGUGGGGUAAUGGCCUACCAAGGCGUCGACGGGUAGCCGGCCUGAGAGGGUGUACGGCCACAUGGGGACUAAGAGACGGCCCAGAGUCCUACGGGAGGCAGCAGUGGGGAGGAUUGCACAAUGGGCGGAAGCCUGAGGCAGCGACGCCGGGUGGGGAAUGAAGGCCUUCGGGUUGUAAACUCCUUUCGACAGGGACGCGGUACCUGUAUAAGAAGCACCGGCUAACGACGUGCCAGCCGCCGCGGUAAUAC
rnacentral:rRNA from 1 species